CGUUGAGUAUCUGGAGAGUCAGGAUUUGUGGGUUCGACUACAAACAAGAAAUAAACAAGAAACUGAAGAUCUCAGUUGGGGUGUGAGUGGCUCUGCAGAGAGAUGGACCAGGCUGCCUGUCUACCUCCAUCCGGCAAGAGGAGCCAUUAAUCUGGUUUAAAACCAGAGGGGUGUGAAGUCUUCCACCAUUGGGGAUGUCUAUCCAACUGGGGUAACUGCCCACGUGAGGUGGCCCUGCCCAGGGGCAGUAUGUAUUUCCUGUCACCUCAUGCCACCGGCCCAGAGACACUACUUUGCGCUUUUGGAAAUCCAAGACCCUGUCUGCCUCCUGCUGUGGGUCAUCAGGCUCAUGAAGAGUGAGAGAUCACAUGGUGUUCUUCAUGGAUAGUAAUAAAGGCAUGGUGGGGUAAGCAGAACCAAGGGAUGGGUACACCUGCCUGUUCUCUCUUUUUUUGCUAUCGGAAGAAGACCACUACUCACCGCCGAUGCUCCACCUUCAUUCUAUGGUUGCUGUCAUACCUUGGUCUUAGUAUUUUGUGUUUUCUUUAAUUAUUUGUUCAGGCCAGGGUGUGACAUGGGUUAUUGUGUUGUCGU